GACGAACGCUGGCGGCGUGCUUAACACAUGCAAGUCGAACGGAAAGGCCCUGCUUUUGUGGGGUGCUCGAGUGGCGAACGGGUGAGUAACACGUGAGUAACCUGCCCUUGACUUUGGGAUAACUUCAGGAAACUGGGGCUAAUACCGGAUAGGAGCUCCUGCUGCAUGGUGGGGGUUGGAAAGUUUCGGCGGUUGGGGAUGGACUCGCGGCUUAUCAGCUUGUUGGUGGGGUAGUGGCUUACCAAGGCUUUGACGGGUAGCCGGCCUGAGAGGGUGACCGGCCACAUUGGGACUGAGAUACGGCCCAGACUCCUACGGGAGGCAGCAGUGGGGGAUAUUGCACAAUGGGCGGAAGCCGGAUGCAGCAACGCCGCGUGCGGGAUGACGGCCUUCGGGUUGUAAACCGCUUUCGCCUGUGACGAAGCGUGAGUGACGGUAAUGGGUAAAGAAGCACCGGCUAACUACGU
rnacentral:rRNA from 1 species